UAUGGUAAUUGCCAGCAGCCGCGGUAAUACGUAGGGAGCGAGCGUUGUCCGGAAUUACUGGGUGUAAAGGGAGCGUAGGCGGGAUGGCAAGUCAGAUGUGAAAACUAUGGGCUCAACCCAUAGACUGCAUUUGAAACUGUUGUUCUUGAGUGAGGUAGAGGUAAGCGGAAUUCCUGGUGUAGCGGUGAAAUGCGUAGAGAUCAGGAGGAACAUCGGUGGCGAAGGCGGCUUACUGGGCCUUUACUGACGCUGAGGCUCGAAAGCGUGGGGAGCAAACAGG
rnacentral:rRNA from 1 species